rnacentral:rRNA from 1 species
UACAGAGGGUGCGAGCGUUUAAUUGGAAUUACUGGGCGUAAAGCGUGCGUAGACGGUUAUUUAAGUCGGGUGUGAAAGCCCCGGGCUCAACCUGGGAAUUGCAUUCGAGACUGAAUAGCUAGGGUACGGUAGAGGGAAGCGGAAUUUCCGGUGUAGCGGUGAAAUGCGUAGAUAUCGGAAGGAACAUCAGUGGCGAAAGCGGCUUCCUGGACCAGUACCGACGUUCAGGCACGAAAGCGUGGGGAGCAAACAGG